GGAGGGGGGGGUGUUGGCAGAGUGUCAAAGCACUUGGCUUCCGAAGCAAGGGGUCUUGGGUUUGAAUCUCAGUUCACCCAACUCUGAUGGGUACCUGAAAUUAGUUGGGGAAAGUAAAGGCUGGAAAGUUGUGCUGGCCACAUGACACCCUGGUCAACAAUAAUCUCCCAAAAAGAUCGUAAAGUCUGAAAGGGUACUUUAUUUUAUACUUUAUGUUUUAAUUUUUUAACUGUAAAAUGUGUAUAAAAACAAAUGUUGUUUCUAAAAUUGUUAAAAUCAUUCAUGUUCCCUUUAUGUGAAAAUAUACACACAAACAUAUAUAUAUAUAUAUAUAUAUAUAUAUAUAUAAAUAGGUUGUAAUCAAUUUUUUUUAAAGAUGUUGCUCAGUCCAAUGCAGAGUGCUACUGAACCUUUUUUUAUGGACAUAUUCUUGGACAAUGUUUCUAUUAGUCCACUAAUUUUUUUUUUGAAAGUUUAUAAUGUGAUUUCAAUUAAUCUAUAUUUGUUAGGGUAAAAGUAUUUUUAAAAAAGCAAUAAAAAAUAGGCUUUAAAAUGUGUAUACAUCCUCCAUCCCUCUGUAUACAUCCUCCAUCCCUCUGUAUACAUCCUCCAUCCCUCUUCUUGCCAUGUAUGAAUGACAGACUUCCUUGGUGCCAUUGUUCAGAAAUGUAAAUAGCUUAUGAUAUAUUAUAUACAGUCUAGACUUACAUGGCUUUUGAAAGAAACCUUUUUUGUUCCGAUAGUUUACCUGAAGUCAGUUUGAUCAGAACCUUUUUUCUUCCAAUAGUUUACCUGAAGUCAGUUUGAUCAGAACCUUUUUUCUUCCAAUAGUUUACCUGAAGUCAGUUUGAUCAGAACCUUUUUUCUUCCAAUAGUUUACCUGAAGUCAGUUUGAUCAUAACCUUUUUUCUUCCAAUAGUUUACCUGAAGUCAGUUUGAUCAUAACCUUUUUUCUUCCAAUAGUUUACCUGAAGUCAGUUUGAUCAGAACCUUUUUUCUUCCAAUAGUUUACCUGAAGUCAGUUUGAUCAGAACCUUUUUUCUUCCAAUAGUUUACCUGAAGUCAGUUUGAUCAGAACCUUUUUUCUUCCAAUAGUUUACCUGAAGUCAGUUUGAUCAGAACCUUUUUUCUUCCAAUAGUUUACCUGAAGUCAGUUUGAUCAGAACCUUUUUUCUUCCAAUAGUUUACCUGAAGUCAGUUUGAUCAGAACCUUUUUUCUUCCAAUAGUUUACCUGAAGUCAGUUUGAUCAGAACCUUUUUUCUUCCAAUAGUUUACCUGAAGUCAGGUUUGAUCAGAACCUUUUUUGUUCCAAUAGUUUACCUGAAGUCAGGUUUGAUCAGAACCUUUUUUCUUCCAAUAGUUUACCUGAAGUCAGUUUGAACAGAACUAUUUUUCUUCCAAUAGUUUACCUGAAGUCAGUUUGAUCAGAACCUUUUUUUUUUGUUGUUGAUUUUGUAGCAAUAAGUUGCAAAAUAAAAUUGUUUAAUGUGAGGAAUAUAAAAAAAUGGAUAGUCUGAGAAGUCUAAAUUGUUUUAGAAAGAAAACAGUUUAGCAAACAAUGACAAUUGAGAUAGAUUGAUGUAAAAAAUUUAAAGGAACCUGACAAUUUUUGUGGAUAGAUUUUAGAGAUGUUUUGUCAAUCUUUAAGUGUAUCCUGAGCCUUUGUUUACACUGCACUAUUUCAUCUGUUCCAUUUUUCUUUAUUAACCUUUUUUUUGUUGAAGCUUCAGUUUAUUAAUUUGAAUAUAAAAGUAUGUAAGGGACAUCUAAGUCUCACAAAAAUUCAUUGUAAAGGUUCAACUCUGCAUGGACUUUUCAUUUCCAGUGAACAAACUGCUAUGUGAAUUAUGAAGCUUUCUUGGCUAGUUUAUUUUCAUUCAUAAUGAAAUGUUAAAUUUUGUUUAUCAAUCAUCUCAAGCCUAUUUGUAUAAAAUUUAACUUUUUUAUUUUAAUCAUUGAAAUAAAUUAUAACAACAUA